AUUGAACGCUGGCGGCAGGCCUAACACAUGCAAGUCGAGCGGAUGAGGGUAGCUUGCUACCUGAUUCAGCGGCGGACGGGUGAGUAAUGCCUAGGAAUCUGCCUGGUAGUGGGGGACAACGUUUCGAAAGGAACGCUAAUACCGCAUACGUCCUACGGGAGAAAGUGGGGGAUCUUCGGACCUCACGCUAUCAGAUGAGCCUAGGUCGGAUUAGCUAGUUGGUGGGGUAAAGGCUCACCAAGGCGACGAUCCGUAACUGGUCUGAGAGGAUGAUCAGUCACACUGGAACUGAGACGCGGUCCAGACUCCUACGGGAGGCAGCAGUGGGGAAUAUUGGACAAUGGGCGCAAGCCUGAUCCAGCCAUGCCGCGUGUGUGAAGAAGGUCUUCGGAUUGUAAAGCACUUUAGGUUGGGAGGAAGGGCAGUAAGUUAAUACCUUGCUGUUUUGACGUUACCGACAGAAUAAGCACCGGCUAACUCUGUGCCAGC
rnacentral:rRNA from 1 species